GUAGGAUCCGAGCGUUAUCCGAAUUUACUGGGCGUAAAGCGCGUGUAGGCGGCCGGGUAAGUUGGACGUGAAAGCUCCUGGCUCAACUAGGAGAGGUCGUUCAAAACUGCCUGGCUAGAGGGCGACAGAGGGAGGUGGAAUUCCCGGUGUAGUGGUGAAAUGCGUAGAUAUCGGGAGGAACACCAGUGGCGAAGGCGGCCUCCUGGGUCGCACCUGACGCUCAGACGCGAAAGCUAGGGGAGCGAACGGGGAUUAGAUACCCCGGUAGUCCUAGCUGUAAACGAUGUGGACUUGGCGUUGGUGGGGUCAAAUCCAUCAGUGCCGGAGCUAACGCGAUAAGUCCACCGCCUGGGGGACUACGACCCGCAAGGUUA
rnacentral:rRNA from 1 species